rnacentral:snRNA from 1 species
AAUCUAAGAACUUACCAACAAU